CCUACGGGUGGCAGCAGUGAGGAAUAUUGGUCAAUGGACGAGAGUCUGAACCAGCCAAGUAGCGUGAAGGAUGACUGCCCUAUGGGUUGUAAACUUCUUUUAUAUGGGAAUAAAAUGUUCCACGUGUGGGAUUUUGUAUGUACCAUAUGAAUAAGGAUCGGCUAACUCCGUGCCAGCAGCCGCGGUAAUACGGAGGUUCCGAGCGUUAUCCGGAUUUAUUGGGUUUAAAGGGAGCAUAGGUGGAUUGUUAAGUCAGUUGUGAAAGUUUGCGGCUCAACCGUAAAAUUGCAGUUGAAACUGGCAGUCUUGAGUACAGUAGAGGUGGGCGGAAUUCGUGGUGUAGCGGUGAAAUGCUUAGAUAUCACGAAGAACUCCGAUUGCGAAGGCAGUUCACUGGACUGCAACUGACACUGAGGCUCGAAAGUGUGGGUAUCAAACAGGAGUAGAUACCCCUGUAGUC
rnacentral:rRNA from 1 species